GGUCCCCUACCCAGUCAAAAGCAAGCAAUUCCGGCUUCGGUUCUCAGCUGUUUUAACUGUUCUCAGAAACUAACCUUGGUCGGCUCCUAGGAAAGCAGGUCAAAGUGAACCUAGGAACUACUUUUUAACAUUCAAUUUGCUAUUCUGAGCAAGCCAGCUCUCCAUCACUUCCAAACUGAUCGGCAAGCUUGGGUAAGCAGACACAGGAGUCCAGCGUCAGAGCCUUUUGUUGAAGACCUGCUCUUGCCUAAGGCUCCCUCUCCCCUGAAGACCCCCAAGGCUUGGAGCCCAAAGAGCCCCUGAAACAGAGGUCGAAAGUUAAGCAUUUCCAGAAGUAGCUUCCACAUCACUUCUAAGUCCCCUAAGGAGCAAAGCUGAAGUCCUAACUACACUUGAAAGGAAUCCCUUUUUCCGAAUCUGAGCUGCCAUAUGUCUCAUCUGGGGAAAGAAAAGUGCAGGGAGAUGGUGCCAGGAAAUCUAACAGGAGUCUCUCCAUUUAACAGAACAGCUGCUUUUGUCAGCGCCAGAGGAGUACUAAAAUGAACCAAACUGCAUUUCUGCAGCUGCGUUCUGUAGCAACAGUUUUGGUCCUUGGACCAGGAGCUUCAAAACCGCCCUAUUCAGAGACUGAUGGACUGUGGGGUGCCUUCUGGAGUUCUGCAAAAUGUAAGGGCCUUAGGCCCGGGGCCUGAUUUAAAGUAAAGUAAGACUCACAGAUAAUGCACUACAAGGUCUUUGCAUAAAAUGAAAAUAAUGCGUGUUCACUUGGCUCAACUAGGAAAACACCAACUUUGACAAAUAAAACCAAAGACUCCCAAUAGCCAUUCAGGAGUGCCGGAAAGUUCUUCUGAAGUAAUAACCAGAACUGCUGCAGCCCAACAGGCAACAGAGAUUUUUCUCAGAAAAAUUGCUAAGUCCCAUCAACUGGUGGUAUUUAAAACUUAACAAUCCCUUGGGGCGCCUG